rnacentral:tRNA from 1 species
GGGAAGUUGGCUCAGUGGUAGAGUGCUUGCCUUGCAUGCAUGAGGCCCUGGGUUC